UACGAAGGGUGCUAGCGUUGCUCGGAAUCACUGGGCGUAAAGCGCACGUAGGCGGAUUGCUAAGUCAGGGGUGAAAUCCUGGAGCUCAACUCCAGAACUGCCUUUGAUACUGGCGAUCUUGAGUCCGGGAGAGGUGAGUGGAACUGCGAGUGUAGAGGUGAAAUUCGUAGAUAUUCGGAAGAACACCAGUGGCGAAGGCGACUCGCUGGACAAGUAUUGACGCUGAGGUGCGAAAGCGUGGGGAGCAAACAGG
rnacentral:rRNA from 1 species